UAAAUGUGUUGCCUUUAGUUUCAUAUGUUUAUCUCAUAAACUGGAAAAAUUAGAAGAGAGAUUCUUCUACAUGUAAUGAACUUGAGGAAAUGCACGAGCCAGUAGACAGACCAGAUUUGGAGCAGUUUGGAACACAGCAAAGGUAGAACCAGGAUCUAUUGUUGCUGUUUUCGGCCUUGGGACUGUUGGCCUUGCAUAGUGUAAUUUAUGUCAGUAAGGAACUCUUCAAGGAGCCAGUACGUCUGGAUUUGUUUGCAGCCAAUCCAUGCUUUGAAACCCAUAUCAACUGAGAAUAGACAUUGACAGGCAGGUUAAAAGCUUCGUUCUGUAAGGCUUUUCACACAUCUUCCAUCUAUGGCAGAGCUUAUGAAAGUAAAGUUUGUAUCUCACAACUGUUGGCCCCACUUGUAAGUUGUAAUGUGUAUCCCGACACUAAAACCCAAUGCACUUGUAAGUUCUUUUUUUAAAGGUGCAGCUUGUCUGCUACAUGUGCUCUUGCACGUGUUAGCGUGAUGGACAUGCUGCGUUUCCACAAGUUCACCAUAGAUGAGUCUCUGUCCUAUUGCACUGCAAGAUGCCAUGUUUAUUAUGUCCCAUUGUUGGAACUAUUGGAUUUGAUAUGUUGGAUUUGCCAAAUCA